GGGCUAGGUAGGGCGGGGGGUCUCGCCAGCCCCUGUAACCUGCGAGGCGUAAUGCAGGCGCCAGUAACUCCUACCUCAUGGUGAUCCUCUAACAGUAGCCCUAACCCAACGAUGAAACUCGCCCAGUGGGGCCUCGCGUGUGUGGAUUCCCUCUUCGGAGGAAGAGGGGAUACCACACUUACUGGGGGAACCAGCCAGGCCCGGAAGGGAGCAACUGUGCCCAGGCGCGGGCGUUCACUGGUCACCGAGUAGAGAAGGGUUAGGGGGAACUACUGUUAGAGGUAGCUAUGGGGUAGGGGGUCUAGCCC
rnacentral:SRP_RNA from 1 species